GCAGCCAGGCUGACGGCAGAGCGGCAGGCGCGCAAGGCCCCGAUCAGUGAAAAAGGCGUUGGGGGUUUGGGGCUGAUUCGCGCCUAGAGCGUGAGGCCGGGCAGCGCUGUACCUAGGCGCGCGCCUCUUCUCUAAAGCGACGCGGUGCAGAGCAAACCCCGACAAACGGGCUCGGUGGGGAUGCUUGCAGUCAGGGUACUGGCGUAGUGUCUUCAACCUCAGUACUCCUCGGGCUUUCAACCUCGCCGUUUUCUGUGGUCUCAGGCUUAGCAGUGACACUGGCAGUAUAAGUUACCGCAUUAAUAUCUCCACCAAUUUCUGGAGAGACCACCUUGGGAGUCAGAAAAUAAUUCAGUCUUCAUGAAUGUUCAAUCCUUCUGCUGACACUGACAAAGGCACCAAUUGUGAUAAUGUUUUUUUGAGAACAGCUAUCCACUAAAAAUUGAACUCAGACCAUUACAACUCAUUUCACCACCCUAAAGACUGCAGGAUCACACCUUUAUAGGUGACAUGGAGCCACUGAUCCCAUCACCACCAGUCCCUCCUACUGGUUGGCUUUUGUACUUUGAGAAGAGAGAGUGAGCAUGGGAGGGAAGCAGGAAAUAGUUCUAGUUAGCACAUGAAUUUAUUUUAAAUAAUAUAUUGAAUAAAAAAAACGUUUUUCUAAUGCCUGGUAGAUCAAAAGCCGGCUGGUCUAGACAGACAAAAUCACUGUUGAUAUGAUCUAAAUUAAUUGCUCUUAGCUUCUUUUUUGAGCUAAAUAUAACUUAUGUAAUGUUUAAAUGCAAUGGGGAUUUUCUAUUACUAAGAUGAUUAAAAAAAAUCCUAGCUAUGGAAGUAUAAAAAUACGGCUGUUGAGGAUUAUCUGUUUUGCCUAAUUAUUAAUGAAAUGUGUCCACAACUUUGAAUAUUUAACCAUGAUCCCCUGUAGCAUUUAAAGCAACAUUUAUUAAUUUAUUAGAUGUUCAGGAUAUACCAACAUAUAUUUUUGCAUUCUCUUCUCCCCUCCAAGAAGCUUUUGGCUAAUUUUACGCCAAUUUUUUUUUUCCUGGAUGAUAUAUUUUAUGUGAAUAUUGUAUCUUCAUUAUCAUUUUGAUUCUGAAACCAUAAAAAUGUUCAUAAAUGACAUUUUACUGUUCUUUCAGUAAACAAUAGACGAAAACACUUGUAGAAAGAUGAAUAAAAGGCAUGGAAUAAAAAAAUAUGCUCAUUUCA